rnacentral:tRNA from 1 species
GCUUCCGUAGUUAAAUGGAUAUAACCGCCCCCUCCUAAGGGGCAAUUGCGAGUUCGAUUCUCGCCGGGAGUACCA